CCUACGGGAGGCACCAGUGGGGAAUAUUGCACAAUGGGCGCAAGCCUGAUGCAGCCAUGCCGCGUGUGUGAAGAAGGCCUACGGGUUGUAAAGCACUUUCAGCGGGGAGGAAGGCGUUAAGGUUAAUAACCUUGGCGAUUGACGUUACCCGCAGAAAAGGCACCGGCUAACUCCGUGCCAGCAGCCGCGGUAAUACGGAGGGUGCAAGCGUUAAUCGGAAUUACUGGGCGUAAAGCGCACGCAGGCGGUCUGUCAAGUCGGAUGUGAAAUCCCCGGGCUCAACCUGGGAACUGCAUUCGAAACUGGUAGGCUAGAGUCUUGUAGAGGGGGGUAGAAUUCCAGGUGUAGCGGUGAAAUGCGUAGAGAUCUGGAGGAAUACCGGUGGCGAAGGCGGCCCCCUGGACAAAGACUGACGCUCAGGUGCGAAAGCGUGGGGAGCAAACAGGAUUAGAUACCCGAGUAGUC
rnacentral:rRNA from 1 species